rnacentral:rRNA from 1 species
GACGAACGCUGGCGGCGUGCUUAACACAUGCAAGUCGAACGGAAAGGCCCUGCUUUUGUUGUUUGCUCGAGUGUCGAACGGGGGAGUAACACGUGAGUAACCUGCCCUUGACUUUGGGAUAACUUCAGGAAACUGGGGCGAAUACCGGAUAGGAGCUCCUGCUGCAUGGUGGGUGUUGGAAAAUUUCGGCGGUUGGGGAUGGACUCGAGGCUUAUCAGCUUGUUGGUGGGGUAGUGGCUUACCAAGGCUUUGACGGGUAGCCGGCCUGAGAGGGUGACCGGCCACAUUGGGACUGAGAUACGGCCCAGAGUCCUACGGGAGGCAGCAGUGGGGAAUAUUGCACAAUGGGCGGAAGCCUGAUGCAGCAACGCCGCGUGCGGGAUGACGGCCUUCGGGUUGUAAACCGCUUUCGCCUGUGACGAAGCGUGAGUGACGGUAAUGGGUAAAGAAGCAACGGCUAACUACGUG